AUUGAACGCUGGCGGCAGGCCUAACACAUGCAAGUCGAGCGAGCGGCGGACGGGUGAGUAAUGUAUGGGGACUGCCCGAUAGAGGGGGAUAACUACUGGAAACGGUGGCUAAUACCGCAUACUAUCGGAUAACCCAUAUGGGAUUAGCUAGUAGGUGGGGUAAAGGCCCACCAAGGCGACGAUCUCUAGCUGGUCUGAGAGGAUGAUCAGACAAACGGGGACUGAGACACGGCCCGGACUCCUACGGAGGAAGAAGUGGGGAAUUUUGCACAAGGGGGGCAAGCCUGAUGCAGCCAUGCCGCGUGUAUGAAGAAGGCCUUAGGGUUGUAAAGUACUUUCAGCGAGGAGGCGUUAACCACAGAAGAAGCACCGGCUAACUCCGUGCCAGCAGCCGCGGUAAUUC
rnacentral:rRNA from 1 species